UUACAUUUUACUGUAUUGAGUACAUUAUUUAUUCAGAGGUAUUUCACUUAUUUCGGGUUUAUACCCUCAAUUAAUAUUAUUAUUAGUAGUAGUAGUAA